GGGAGCCGGAGGGAAACCGAGUCUUAAUUGGGCGUUAAGUUGCAGGGUAUAGACCCGAAACCCGGUGAUCUAGCCAUGGGCAGGUUGAAGGUUGGGUAACACUAACUGGAGGACCGAACCGACUAAUGUUGAAAAAUUAGCGGAUGACCUGUGGCUGGGGGUGAAAGGCCAAUCAAACCGGGAGAUAGCUGGUUCUCCCCGAAAGCUAUUUAGGUAGCGCCUCGUGAAUUCAUCUCCGGGGGUAGAGCACUGUUUCGGCUAGGGGGCCAUCCCGGCUUACCAACCCGAUGCAAACUGCGAAUACCGGAGAAUGUUAUCACGGGAGACACACGGCGGGUGCUAACGUCCGUCGUGAAGAGGGAAACAACCCAGACCGCCAGCUAAGGUCCCAAAGUCAUGGUUAAGUGGGAAACGAUGUGGGAAGGCCCAGACAGCCAGGAUGUUGGCUUAGAAGCAGCCAUCAUUUAAAGAAAGCGUAAUAGCUCACUGGUCGAGUCGGCCUGCGCGGAAGAUGUAACGGGGCUAAACCAUGCACCGAAGCUGCGGCAGCGAACGUAUCACUUAAAGCGAUUCAGCGGGUUACGAUUGACGGAGCGAAGCGACGUCAAAGCGUAUACAAAGUCGAGUCGGUUUAAGGAUACGUUCGUUGGGUAGGGGAGCGUUCUGUAAGCCUGCGAAGGUGGCCUGUGAGGGUUGCUGGAGGUAUCAGAAGUGCGAAUGCUGACAUAAGUAACGAUAAAGCGGGUGAAAAGCCCGCUCGCCGGAAGACCAAGGGUUCCUGUCCAACGUUAAUCGGGGCAGGGUGAGUCGACCCCUAAGGCGAGGCCGAAAGGCGUAGUCGAUGGGAAACGGGUUAAUAUUCCCGUACUUGGUGUUACUGCGAAGGGGGGACGGAGAAGGCUAUGUUGGCCGGGCGACGGUUGUCCCGGUUUAAGCGUGUAGGUGUGUGUUCCAGGUAAAUCCGGUUCACUUUAACACUGAGGCGUGAUGACGAGGCACUACGGUGCUGAAGCAACAAAUGCCCUGCUUCCAGGAAAAGCCUCUAAGCAUCAGGUAACAUCAAAUCGUACCCCAAACCGACACAGGUGGUCAGGUAGAGAAUACCAAGGCGCUUGAGAGAACUCGGGUGAAGGAACUAGGCAAAAUGGUGCCGUAACUUCGGGAGAAGGCACGCUGAUAUGUAGGUGAAGCGGUUUACCCGUGGAGCUGAAAUCAGUCGAAGAUACCAGCUGGCUGCAACUGUUUAUUAAAAACACAGCACUGUGCAAACACGAAAGUGGACGUAUACGGUGUGACGCCUGCCCGGUGCCGGAAGGUUAAUUGAUGGGGUCAGCGCAAGCGAAGCUCCUGAUCGAAGCCCCGGUAAACGGCGGCCGUAACUAUAACGGUCCUAAGGUAGCGAAAUUCCUUGUCGGGUAAGUUCCGACCUGCACGAAUGGCGUAAUGAUGGCCAGGCUGUCUCCACCCGAGACUCAGUGAAAUUGAACUCGCUGUGAAGAUGCAGUGUACCCGCGGCAAGACGGAAAGACCCCGUGAACCUUUACUAUAGCUUGACACUGAACAUUGAGCCUUGAUGUGUAG
rnacentral:rRNA from 1 species